UGUGCAGGCUAAUUUUUCUAAUUCAAUUUUAAUUCCAACACCAGUCUCAAUUUGCAGUGAAAUUUUAUCUGAUCAGAAAAAUAAUUUGACAGAUGCGACUUCUAAUUCAAUGACUUUUUCCAAUCUUAUUUUUGCAGGUCCAAUGGGAAUGGAGGUCCUUUGGAAAAAGGAGUUUUGGAUCCGGAUAAGCAUUCAGUAGUCUCUUUUACGGAUAGCUCGAGUUCGGUGGGCAUUUGGGAGUAGAAUGAGCAAAAAAUGAGCAAAAAUUGAAGAAAAAGAACAGAUAUCAUGAGCCACAUGGGCUGGGCACACGCCCUUGUAAGCUACAAGGGCUAGACACACGCCCAUGUGCCAGCCAGUGUCAAUUUCGCAACCUGCUUCCCAAACAUGCAGAAAAUGUAAUUUUUAGGCUUUCUGAACCUUCUAAAGUCUAUAAAUAUCAAAUAAAAGAAGAGAUAUGGAAGCCAUCAGAGAAUAUUGAAGAAACAACUCGAAGAACACCAUUGGAGCCAACUCUGAAGUAGAUUUCCAUCAAGAUCGAAGACUUCCUUUUAAUUUCUUUCGAAGUUUUUAUGAGUUUCUUUGUUUCUUAUGGUUUUUCUGACUUUGAGAUGUUUUUAUUCAGGAUUAUGAACUAAUUCCCAAGAUACCUAGGGAAGAUGAAACCUAUGACGAAUUCUACUAUUUAAUUUCUGUUUCACGCAAUAAAUACUUGAUUCUUGUUCUUAA